UACGAAGGGGGCUAGCGUUGCUCGGAAUUACUGGGCGUAAAGCGCACGUAGGCGGAUUGUUAAGUCGGGGGUGAAAUCCUGGAGCUCAACUCCAGAACUGCCUUCGAAACUGGCGAUCUUGAGUCCGGGAGAGGUGAGUGGAACUGCGAGUGUAGGGGUGAAAUUCGUAGAUAUUCGCAAGAACACCAGUGGCGAAGGCGGCUCACUGGCCCGGUACUGACGCUGAGGUGCGAAAGCGUGGGGAGCAAACAGG
rnacentral:rRNA from 1 species